AGACCAUGGUGUGGGCAUUUUCUAAGAAGUUCUUUAAGUCUCUCCCAUGACUCGUGAAUUUGUUCCCCUAGAAUCUGAGCAAAUCUAGUGAUGGCUUGCCUCAUGGU